AACCUAGCACACCUGCGGUGUGUACCUGCGGAAGGAUCAUUACCGAGUUAGGGUCUUUUGGCCCGACCUCCAACCCUUUGUUUAUUAUACCAUGUUGCUUUGGUGGGCCUGCCUUUCGGGGCUGCCGGGGGCAUCACUGCCCCUGACUCGUGCCUGCCAGGAGCCUUCUUAAAUUCAGUGUUCAACGGUGCUGUCUGAGUCCCAGUAUCAAAAUAUCAAAAACUUUUAACAACGGAUCUC
rnacentral:misc_RNA from 1 species